rnacentral:rRNA from 1 species
UACGUAGGGUGCGAGCGUUGUCCGGAAUUAUUGGGCGUAAAGGGUGCGUAGGCGGUUUGUCGCGUCUGCCGUGAAAGUCCGGGGCUCAACUCCGGAUCUGCGGUGGGUACGGGCAGACUAGAGUGAUGUAGGGGAGACUGGAAUUCCUGGUGUAGCGGUGAAAUGCGCAGAUAUCAGGAGGAACACCGAUGGCGAAGGCAGGUCUCUGGGCAUUAACUGACGCUGAGGAGCGAAAGCAUGGGGAGCGAACAGG